UUGGAGGGCAAGUCUGGUGCCAGCAGCCGCGGUAAUUCCAGCUCCAAUAGCGUAUAUUAAAGUUGUUGCGGUUAAAAAGCUCGUAGUUGAAUUUCGGGAUCAGAGUGUCGGUCGUGCCUCGGUACGCACUGGUAUUAUUGGUUCCUACCUUCUGAAGAACCGCGAUGUCAUUAAUUUGGUGUCGUGGGGAAUCAGGACUGUUACUUUGAAAAAAUUAGAGUGUUUAAAGCAGGCUUACGCUUGAAUACAUUAGCAUGGAAUAAUGAAAUAGGACGUUUGAUUCUAUUUUGUUGGUUUCUAGGAUUGACGUAAUGAUUAAUAGGGAUAGUUGGGGGCAUUAGUAUUCAAUUGUCAGAGGUGAAAUUCUUGGAUUUAUUGAAGACUAACUACUGCGAAAGCAUUUGCCAAGGAUGUUUUCAUUAAUCAAGAACGAAAGUUAGGGGAUCGAAGACGAUCAGAUACCGUCGUAGUCUUAACCAUAAACUAUGCCGACUAGGGAUCGGAUGAUGUUAAUUUUUUAAUGACUCAUUCGGCGCCUUACGGGAAACCAAAGUGUUUGGGUUC
rnacentral:rRNA from 1 species